UCUGAUUGGUUGAGAAAUUGGAACAAUCGGAACAGAGAAAAGUGGGCGCAAGGAUGACACGCAAAUUCGUGAAGCGUUCCUCAUUUUC
rnacentral:snRNA from 1 species